CUGAGCCAGGGAGAGCUGCUGCAUUUGCCUUUGGAGCCUGCCAGGGAGCCCCAGUGCAAGGAUGAGCUGGCCUUUCCCUCCUCUCAAUUAGCAGGGAAGGUUGCAAAAUGAAAAUUAACUGUCAGAGAAGAUUGAUUCGUUUGAUGUCUAACCAGGAGCAGCCUUUUAUUACUGUAAAAUGCUGAUUUCCAUUCGUCGCCAAUGACAGGAUGGCGGGGAGCGGCAGUGAGAAGCCUCAUUAUGUGCUGCUCUGCCUCGAAGAACAAGCCUCGCGCUGCAACCCCAGCACCCGGGCCCGCGAACAGAGCAUUAAAUUGUUGGAAAUGGCUCCCCUUCACUCGCAGAACAAAGAUGUUUUCUCCAGAAUAAAUUGCCUCUCCCUCUCCGAGCGCUGA